rnacentral:lncRNA from 1 species
GCGUUUAUUCACGCCAUUCGACCAUUCCGCGAGAGGAUCGUGUGGUAACGUUCCGUGCGGCCGUUUCGCGAACUCUCCACGUGUGGGCUGCAGUUCCGCGUGCCGUUCUCGCACACGAAGCUUCCGCGGUCGUCUGCACCUAUAAAAGACGCCCUCCUUUUCUCAGUUUUUGUACGAAAAAAAAUAUCGAGUCUUCUUAUCUUCAAAAAUUUUUCUUCUAUCUUCAAAAUUUUUUCUCUUUCGUUUAUUUUAUUGAUUGGGCUGAGGAUGAAGUUGAUCGGCAUCCGUUCAAGAUCG